rnacentral:rRNA from 1 species
GACGAACGCUGGCGGCGUGCCUAAUACAUGCAAGUAGAACGCUGAAGGAGGAGCUUGCUCUUCUGGGUGAGUUGCGAACGGGUGAGUAAUGCGUAGGUAACCUGCCUGGUAGCGGGGGAUAACUAUUGGAAACGAUAGCUAAUACCGCAUAACAGUAGAUGUUGCAUGACAUUUGCUUAAAAGGUGCAAUUGCACCACUACCAGAUGGACCUGCGUUGUAUUAGCUAGUUGGUGGGGUAACGGCUCACCAAGGCGACGAUACAUAGCCGACCUGAGAGGGUGAUCGGCCACACUGGGACUGAGACACGGCCCAGACUCCUACGGGAGGCAGCAGUAGGGAAUCUUCGGCAAUGGACGGAAGUCUGACCGAGCAACGCCGCGUGAGUGAAGAAGGUUUUCGGAUCGUAAAGCUCUGUUGUAAGAGAAGAACGAGUGUGAGAGUGGAAAGUUCACACUGUGACGGUAUCUUACCAGAAAGGGACGGCUAACUACGUG